AGUUGAGAGCUUGCUUUUUAAGUAGUGGCGAACGGGUGAGUAACGCGUGAGUACCUGCCCUAGAGUGGGGGACAACAGUUGGAAACGACUGCUAAUACCGCAUAAGGCCGCAUGACAAAAGAUUUAUCGCUUUAGGAUGGACUCGCGUCCAAUUAGCUAGUUGGUGAGGUAACGGCCCACCAAGGCGACGAUUGGUAGCCGGACUGAGAGGUUGAACGGCCACAUUGGGACUGAGACACGGCCCAGACUCCUACGGGAGGCAGCAGUGGGGGAUAUUGCACAAUGGGGGAAACCCUGAUGCAGCGACGCCGCGUGGAGGAAGAAGGUUUUCGGAUUGUAAACUCCUGUCGUUAGGGACGAUAAUGACGGUACCUAACAAGAAAGCACCGGCUAACUACGUGCCAGCAGCCGCGGUAAAACGUAGGGUGCAAGCGUUGUCCGGAAUUACUGGGUGUAAAGGGAGCGCAGGCGGGAAGACAAGUUGGAAGUGAAAACCAUGGGCUCAACCCAUGAAUUGCUUUCAAAACUGUUUUUCUUGAGUAGUGCAGAGGUAGACGGAAUUCCCGGUGUAGCGGUGGAAUGCGUAGAUAUCGGGAGGAACACCAGUGGCGAAGGCGGUCUACUGGGCACCAACUGACGCUGAGGCUCGAAAGCAUGGGUAG
rnacentral:rRNA from 1 species